UGGAAACUACUCAGGUACAAGGGGAAAGCGAACAUUAAUAUAAGUUGCAGCAUAUCUAAGGGACAAAUGGAAGUGCCAAAUAAAAAUCUGUCAAGGAGGCUCCUUACCCAUGUAGAAGUUAUGUGAUUAGACAAUCUUUUAUAACCUGCCAUGAGCAUUAGACUUUUUAUGGCCAAGUUGCAAUAGGUAGUCGUCUCAACUUUGAAACAACAGAAGAACUUGGUUUUAUUGGCACUACUCACUACCUAGGUUAUUUGGAUUGUCUAGUUAACUGAGUGCUCACCUUCGUUGAUAAUUCUGGAUGGUCUGUUAAGAGUUCCUGCAUCGUCAUUGACUCAAGUUGUAAGCUUACUGACAUUUUUAGUUGACCUUCCAGUUCUGUUGCACCACUGGCUUUACUGAACUCAUGCGUUCAUCUUAGGUUAAUACUUGUAGAAAUACAGACUAAGAUGCUCAUUGAAUGUGCAUCUGUUUCUUGACAGUGGAUGCAGACUGUACCUGUGUUUACACCUUUCAGUAUAUGUUUGACUUUAGGCUUUUGUGUUUGCCAUUAGGGUGAAUGUGAAUCUAGUGCACAAGAAAUUUGUGGGUCAAUAUAUGGAGCCUUACAUCUACAAGUAAAGAGAUCGCUUCCAUGACUUAAAACCUGGUCACCCAAGUUGCAAGGUGCAACCUUGCUGCCCUCGUAUUUACCUUAAGAAAAAUGACAUGUGUUGAUCUAUUUUUUCCUGUGGAAAAUGUCAAAAUACUUUAUUUAAUUUUUGAAUCACAAUUUUAAACCUAUUUCCACAUUGACCCUCUAUUAAACCUGAGCCUCAUGCACUAGGUCAUAUUUUAUUUAUUUUUCAAAGUUCUAUACUAAUUAAAUAGCUCAUUCCAAUGAUUAUAUUGUAAAUGGGCUAUGGAAUUAAUCUAUGAUACCAUUAUGUGCUCAUCCACAAGCAUCUUAGUUGUAUGUCAUUUGGUCCUACAUAGACAAGCUUUUGUACUAAGGUGCACUUAGUUUUGGAUUAUGUAGUUGCUGGUUAAAUUUGAAAGCUGUAUACUCUUUUUUCUUCAAUAUUUUUUUCUCAUCCACUUUUUCUUUGUACUAGAUACCAUUACCUAAUGCUGCAGAUGAUCAUCAAACAAAGAAUGCAUACAUUAUGGCAGACAUAGCAGGAUCAAAGGUCCUUACGGAAGAUGAGCUUGAUUCUAGUAGUCUCGAAGAGGCAAUUGAUGAUAUUUUAGGAAAUGAAAGUCUCAUGGCUGAGAUGUCCGAGAGGGCACUGAGUGCUGCACGUCCUGAUGCUGCAUCUGAUAUCGCACAGUGCAUUCUUUCUCUUGUCAACCCAUCCUCUUCAAAAUGAAUUUGAAUGUCGAAAAAAGCAUUCCUCCUUUGGACGUCAGUACUAUUUCGCGCUCGUUUGAUUGGUGUAUGGCUUGUUCUCAUUUUAUAUUCCUUGCAUGGAAUGAAAUUAUUAUCAGGCAAGUGUUUUCAUGUAUAUGUAGAUGGGUAAAUGAGUGAGGCUUGUUCUCUCGAAGUUUUAGUGGUGUGAGAUCUCUUCACAUAGAUGUUUGGAGCCUAAAAGCAACUGUUGUUAGCCACAUCAGCCAUGUAUGGUUUUAACCUAGGCUUUCACAGCAGCAUUGUGGAGAUCAUUUAACAUUCAUCCAUUGGUUGUAUGUUGAUGAUGCUCAGUUUGUCACUCAAAUAUUCAUUCCAAUUUUUUGUUUUCUUUAUAA